rnacentral:rRNA from 1 species
UGCAUUUGUGACUGCGAGACUAGAGUGUGGCAGAGGGGGGUAGAAUCCACGUGUAGCAGUGAAAUGCGUAGAGAUGUGGAGGAAUACCGAUGGCGAAGGCAGCCCCCUGGGCCAACACUGACGCUCAUGCACGAAAGCGUGGGGAGCAAACAGGAUUAGAUACCCUGGUAGUCCACGCCCUAAACGAUGUCAACUAGUUGUUGGGGAAGGAGACUUCCUUAGUAACGCAGCUAACGCGUGAAGUUGACCGCCUGGGGAGUACGGUCGCAAGAUUAAAACUCAAAGGAAUUGACGGGGACCCGCACAAGCGGUGGAUUAUGUGGAUUAAUUCGAUGCAACGCGAAAAACCUUACCUACCCUUGACAUGCCAGGAACUUUCCAGAGAUGGAUUGGUGCCCGAAAGGGAACCUGGACACAGGUGCUGCAUGGCUGUCGUCAGCUCGUGUCGUGUGAUGUUGGGUUAAGUCCCGCAACGAGCGCAACCCUUGCCAUUAAUUGCCAUCAUUCAGUUGGGCACUUUAAUGGGACUGCCGGUGAUAAACCGGAGGAAGGUGGGGAUGACGUCAAGUCCUCAUGGCCCUUAUGGGUAGGGCUUCACACGUAAUACAAUGGUCGGUACAGAGGGUUGCCAACCCGCGAGGGGGAGCUAAUCCCAGAAAGCCGAUCGUAGUCCGGAUUGUUCUCUGCAACUCGAGAGCAUGAAGUCGGAAUCGCU